GCGCCCAUAGCUCAACUGGAUAGAGCGAUGGACUACGAAUCCAUAGGUCGCAGGUUCGAAUCCUGCUGGGCGCACCA
rnacentral:tRNA from 1 species